rnacentral:lncRNA from 1 species
UAAGUGUCAUUACUGUUAUUAUCAUUAUAUAUUAGAAAAGUCACAGUAUCUCAGCAAAUAGUCAUCAUCAAGUCAUAGUAUUUUAACUUUAGGCUUGGCCCAGGGUCCCCAUGCUGUGUGCAGCCUAGGGACUUUGUGCCCUGUGUCCCAGCUGCUCCAGCCGUGGCAGAAAGGGAGCAAUGUAGAGCUCAGGUCAUGGCUUCAGAGGGUGCAAGCCCCAAGCCUUGGCAGCUUCCAUGUGGGUUUGAGAUGGAAUCUUGCUCUGUCACCCAGGCUGGAGUGCAGAAGCCCAAACACAGCUUGUGCAGCCUCUACCUCCCAGGCUCAAGUGAUCCUCCCACCUCAGCCUCUCAAGUAGCUGGGACUGCAGGUGUGCACCACCAUGCC